CAGCCGCCGCGGUAAUACGUAGGGUGCAAGCGUUAAUCGGAAUUACUGGGCGUAAAGCGUGCGCAGGCGGUUCGCUAAGACAGGUGUGAAAUCCCCGGGCUUAACCUGGGAACUGCGCUUGUGACUGCACAGCUAGAGUAUGGCAGAAGGGGGUGGAAUUCCACGUGUAGCAGUGAAAUGCGUAGAGAUGUGGAGGAACACCGAUGGCGAAGGCAGCCCCCUGGGCCAAUACUGACGCUCAUGCACGAAAGCGUGGGGGGCAAACAGGAUUAGAUACCCCUGUAGUCCCUGUCUCUUAUAC
rnacentral:rRNA from 1 species